AACGCGUGGGAACCUGCCCUUAGGUUCGGAAUAACAGUUAGAAAUGACUGCUAAUGCCGGAUAAUGUCUUCGGACCAAAGAUUUAUCGCCUUUGGAUGGGCCCGCGUAGGAUUAGGUAGUUGGUGAGGUAAAGGCUCACCAAGCCGACGAUCCUUAGCUGGUCUGAGAGGAUGAUCAGCCACACUGGGACUGAGACACGGCCCAAACUCCUACGGGAGGCAGCAGUAGGGAAUAUUGGACAAUGGGCGAAAGCCUGAUCCAGCAAUGCCGCGUGAGUGAUGAAGGCCUUAGGGUUGUAAAGCUCUUUUACCAGGGAUGAUAAUGACAGUACCUGGAGAAUAAGCUCCGGCUAACUCCGUGCCAUCAGCCGCGGUAAUACGGAGGGAGCUAGCGUUGUUCGGAAUUACUGGGCGUAAAGCGCGCGUAGGCGGCUUUUCAAGUCAGGGGUGAAAUCCCGGGGCUCAACCCCGGAACUGCCCUUGAAACUGGAUGGCUAGAAUACUGGAGAGGUGAGUGGA
rnacentral:rRNA from 1 species